UACGUAGGGGGCUAGCGUUGUCCGGAAUCAUUGGGCGUAAAGAGCGUGUAGGCGGCCCGGUAAGUCCGCUGUGAAAGUCGGGGGCUCAACCCUCGAAUGCCGGUGGAUACUGUCGGGCUAGAGUGCGGAAGAGGCGAGUGGAAUUCCUGGGUGUGAGCGGUGAAAUGACGCAGAUAUCUGGAGGAACACCGGUGGCGAAGGCGGCAUCCUGGACCGGCAUUGACGCUGAGGCGGCGAAAAGCCAG
rnacentral:rRNA from 1 species